GGACGUGUGGCCGAAUGGUAAGGCACUCACACCUUGCGUGAGGGAUUGUGCGUUCGAGUCGCACCAUGUCCA